rnacentral:miRNA from 1 species
UAUUAGGUUGGUGCAAAAGUAAUUGCGGUUUUUGCCAUUAAAAGUAAUGACAAAAGCCGCAAUUACUUUUGCACGAAACUGGUAGUAUU